rnacentral:misc_RNA from 1 species
UUUCCGUAGGUGAACCUGCGGAAGGAUCAUUCAUAAUAAAGUGUCUUAUGGCACUUUUUAAAAAUCCAUAUCCACCUUGUGUGCAAUGUUAGAUCUCGUCAAUCUUGGCGAGGUUUUUAUACAUCAACUCAUUCUUUAACUAAUUUGUCUGAAAAUAUUAUGAAUACUUAAUUCAAAAUACAACUUUCAACAACGGAUCUCUUGGCUCUC